GAUGAACGCUGGCGGCGUGCCUAAUACAUGCAAGUCGAGCGAACAGACGAGGAGCUUGCUCCUCUGACGUUAGCGGCGGACGGGUGAGUAACACGUGGAUAACCUACCUAUAAGACUGGGAUAACUUCGGGAAACCGGAGCUAAUACCGGAUAAUAUAUUGAACCGCAUGGUUCAAUAGUGAAAGACGGUUUUGCUGUCACUUAUAGAUGGAUCCGCGCCGCAUUAGCUAGUUGGUAAGGUAACGGCUUACCAAGGCAACGAUGCGAAGCCGACCUGAGAGGGGAACCGGCCCAACGGAACUCAGACACGGGCCCAGCACCCAAGGGGGGGCAGGAGGAGGGAACUUCCCGGAAGGGGGGAAAGCCUGACGGGGCACGCCCGGGGGGGUGAUGAAGGUCUUGGGAUCGUAAAACCCUGUUUUUAGGGAAGAACAAAUGUUAAAUGAACUAUGCCCGUCUGGACGUUACCUAAUCAAAAACCCCCGGCAAACUACGG
rnacentral:rRNA from 1 species